GGCCGGCGGGCGCCAUGGACGGGCUGCGGCGCGGCCUGUCGCGCUGGAAGCGCUACCACAUCAAGGUGCACCUGGCGGACGAGGCGCUGCUGCUGCCGCUGACCGUGCGGCCGCGGGACACGCUGAGCGACGUGCGCGCGCAGCUGGUGGGCCAGGGCGUGUGCUCCUGGGGGCGCGCCUUCUACUACAACGCGCGGCGCCUGCACGACCACCAGACGGUGCGCGACGCGCGCCUGCAGGACGGCUCGGUGCUGCUGCUCGUCAGCGACCCCAGGUAGUCUGGGUUGGAGGAGGUGGAGCCAUGUCCGAGGGGACCCAAGGGACUGGCUGAAGGCGCAAGCUUGGGUAGGGGGCACCUUCGGGAGGCACCUGCCCGGCCUCCUGAGAGCCCAGACCUCACUCCAGGCUCUCGGCUCCCAGGUGGACGGUGGAACACUGGCCUGGCCAGAUGGUGCCCGCUGCCUCGGACAUCCCUGCCGGAGCCCCAGGCCCUGGCACUGACCUAGGACGCUGCCGCCCCUGCCCAGCCUACCAGGGAGGAGCCGUGAGCCCCCCAGCUCUGCCAUGUGACCCGGAGGCUAU